UACGUAGGCAGCAAGCGUUGUUCGGAGUUACUGGGCGUAAAGGGUGCGUAGGCGGCUUUUUAAGUUUGGUGUGAAAUCUCCCGGCUCAACUGGGAGGGUGCGCCGAAUACUGAGAGGCUAGAGUGUGGGAGAGGAAAGUGGAAUUCCGUGGUGUAGCGGUGAAAUGCGUAGAUAUCAGGAGGAACACCGGUGGUGUAAACGGCUUUCUGGACCAUAACUGACGCUGAUGCACGAAAGCGUGGGUAGCAAACAGG
rnacentral:rRNA from 1 species